ACAUUAAUCAUAUAAUAAUAAAAAAUUAGAUUUUUUUUCUUAUAUGUUAUAUUUUGAAUUUUUUAAAAUGACUUUGAAUUACAAAAAAAUGAGGAAAUCUUAUAUAUUAUAUUUUAAAUUUUUAAAAUGAUUUUAAAUUGCAAAAAUGAGUAAACCUUAUAUGUUAUAUUUUUCUUAUAUGUUAGAUUCUUUCUUUAUUUUGAAUUUUUUAGAACGAUUUUAAAUUACAAAAAUUUAAGUUUUCCUUAAGCAUAUGACUGAAAGUAUUAAAAUGACAUUUAUCAAUUCGAUGGUUGAUUUGAAACCUUUCAAAACCAUAUGAAGAUAAAUAUCAAAAUAAUUCAACUGUGGAAACAAUACUGAUCAUUUUUUUCAAUAAUGUGUUCGGUGGGAAAAAUAAGGUUCUUGUGUCAUAAUUUGUUUAAUGUCCAAUCCGAUCAAUCCAUGAUAUAUUAAUUAUAGCUUAGUUCCAUAAUUUUUAAUAAAAAUUGAUCUGGUCCAUCGAAAAUAAAUUAUAUAAUAACAACAAAAGCAUUGUAUAUGUAUAAAUAAAAUGAUCAAAUAUAUAAAAACAAUAUAAAAAAAUUCACCCUGCGUAAAGCGCAUUUCUUAUAGUGACCGAAACACUAAUGAAACAAAUGGAGAGUUUAAUCAUUAUGAUUCUACAGGCUGGGUGCUAGUCAUUGAAAAUUCUAUUGUACAAGAAUCAUAAUUAGACUAAUUCAUUAAUAUAUAAUGUAUUUAAAAAGUAGCAAAUUAAUCUUAUCAAGAUAUUUCUUAUCUUAGAUAAUAGCGUCCUUUAAUCAAUUAAUUUAAUAUAAUAUAUUAAUUUUUGACUGUUAAAUAUUUGUUUAUGUUUUAGAAAAUUUGUGUGACAUAUAUUUAUUUGGUUUUGGAUAUUGAAUUAAAUUAUAUACAAUUAUAGUUAUAUAUUAACAAAUUAUAACAAAAGGCUUUAUGAUAUAUAUUAUAUAUUUGGAUGUUAUUAUCUAUUUUAGAAAUUCUAUUAUUUUAAAAGCUGACCUAUUAUCAGCAUAGAUUAUUCUGUGUACAACAUCAAAAAGAACUAGUUAUGUGGUAUAUUAUAAACUUUAAUUUUAAAAUUAGAUAUAGAAUAUAUGUGGCAGAAAAAAAUAAGUGCAGUGUAUUGCAUUAUCAAUUUCAUCAUAUAUAAAUUGUUUUUAAAUAAUAAAGUGCCAAUAAAAAUUAUAAACAAAACUGUUUGUUAAUAAUAUUAAUAAAUUACUGAAAUAAAAAACAAAUAUUACAUACUAAUAAUUUCAAACAAUGUACAUUAACUAAUUUUUAUUUGACUAUGACAAAUUUUUUUGGGUGAAUACCUUAUACAACAUAUCUAAUAGAUUAUAGAUCAUAUAAUUGAAAUAUUAAAUGUUUAUAGUAAUUAAUCAGUUUAGCACGCAGUGCUAGGAAACAAACGUCCUUCAUCGUUCACAUGGAUGCGGAGUUGCCAAUUUGGUUUACAGAGUCAAAAUGAAUCUGUAAAUGCUUGCUCUAAAAAAAAAGUAAUUAAUCAGUUUUUGAAUCACAUAUACAUUACGUAAAUACAAAUAUUACACAAAAUGAUUUAAAUAUUUUUUUAAAAAUAAUGUUUUUAUUUUAAAAUGCCUUGUAUUUAUUGUCAUAUUUACUAAUAAACAAAAACACAAAAUAGUAUUAGUUAACAAUAUUUAUAGUAAUGACUAAUACGAUUUAAUAUUUUAUAAUCUUAUGUUAGAAAAAAAUAUUGACUUAAAAUUUCAACAAAUGAACAAAAUAAUAAAAAUAUAAUGUUUUUAUCGUCACUAGUUUAAUUUUAAAAUUAAUUAUAGAUCAAAUAAAAACUUGUGCACUGCGUUGAUCAAAAUUGAGUUCUUAAUUUAAAUUUAAGCCGAAUAUUUUGUGCUCGUAGCUGUGAAUUUUCUUGCUUUAGAAUCAUUUCAAAGAUUUUAGAAUACUACAUAUAAUCGGUAGAAAAAUAAUUUCCAGAACAAUAUUAUAUAUUUUUUUUAACUUUGAACUAUGAAUUUACAUUUUACUAAAACAUUUAUAAUAAUUAAAUUGGUUGUGAGAAAAUUGUAGUUGUGUAAAACAUUCGUAGCACUUACCAGUCAUCUCUUAAUAUGAGCAUGAGUUGGGUUAAUCGAUUAGAUUUUGACAUAAAUAAAAACAAAUAAUAUAAAAUAUACCUAAGUUAAAAAGGUAAAGUCUAUUAAUAAUACAAAUUACAAGAUAACAAAUGAAAUGAUCUCAGAAAAAUAUAAAAAUGACACUAUAUUUAUGAUGUAUAUUUCAAUUGAUUGACCUAGAUUUAGGGAACAUGUUCUUUUUUUUAAACUAACAUAUUCUUUUCUUUAUAACAAAAAAAAGAUAUUUCAUAAUGUAUUUUCAUUUUGUUACGGAAAUAUUUGUUACCGUAAUUAAAGAUGCCACCCAAGAUGCUCACAUCUCAGUAAUAAUCGCAGUGGUAAAUUAAUAAUUUAUUCUUUUAAUACAAAUUUUAUUGUUUUGGCAACAUAUUAUUCAACGGUAACAUUUAAUAUAUUAAGUGGUUAUACGUGUCAUGUGCGUGGUGAGUGGACUAAAAGAGAUUAUCACUUCUAAUUUAUAGAUAUUAAAAAAUUAAAGUUAUAGUCACAAAUUUUACAUGUUAUAUAAUGAAAGAUUAAAUAAAAGUGUGCAUGUUUAUAUAAGGUAAGCUUAGAUUUUUUUAAAAAACUUGUGUUAUUGGUUAUGUGUAAUUGAAAUAUAGUUUGUGUAAGAUAACAUUAGUUAUGAAUUUAAGAUAAAACGAAACAUAGACAAUAAAAUUAUUGCUUUUAUGAUAUAAAUUAUGAAUAUAGGAUAAAACAGAACAUAAACUAUAGAAUAAUAUGAUAUGAAAGGAACAAAUUAUAAAGAAACAAAUUAUAGGCGAUAAGAAUUAAGUCAAUCAAAUAUAUUCCAUCGUGAGAUUAAUGGCAAAAAAAUUCCUACAAUUUCGUGUAUAAUUUUUAAUUGGUCAUGAAAGUUGUGUAAAUUUGUAGUAAUUCUCUCAUAUUAACCAAACCAGAUUGUGUUAUGUUGAUUGUGUAUAUCAGUUUCCUAUAUUUUGUCUAUAAAUUAUGGUCAAACGUAAAAUUAGCAAAAAGAAUCAAGUAAAUAUAGGAAACUAAUAUUAUUGGAUUUGAUAUUAAAAGACUCAAUCAAAUCCCCCAUUUAUUUAAAUUCUAGGAUUGAUUCCCCAUUUAUUUACUUGAAUCAUAUAAGUUUUGUCAUAUAUAAUAAGAUUAUAUAUGUUUAUUAUGUAUGUAUAUAUAUAUAUAUAUGUUAGACAAAUGAUAAAUGUUUAAACAAAUGAUAUAUGUUUAUACAAUAUUGUCCUGAACUAAAACCCAACUAACAAAAAAACAAUAUGUCUUUCUACAAAGAUUAAUACAAAGAUGUUUGAUUAAUUUUAUGUUUCCAGAUAAAUAAAUGAGAAGAUGAGAAUAAAUAGAGGCUUUGGUAACAUUAUCUUCAUGCAUAUCCGAGAAAUGUAGUUACGUCUAGGAUAUUAAAAUUGUUAUAAUGUUCUUCCUAUAUGAAUAUGCAUACAAAGGAAAAAACUGUAAACGUGUAUAUACAAAAAGUAAAAAUUCCUAGAUAUUAAAUGUAUGAUGUGAAAAAUAAAUAGUAUAAUCACUAUCUAGUUUUAAUGUGCAAUGACAUUAUAUGUAAUUUAUCUAGCAAAUGAAGGUCUUUUUAAAAAAUGGUAUGACGAGGACUCUCAUGAUGACACCUAAGUAAUGACAAUUUUGUUAAUCACACAUUUGGUAAGGUUAAUAAAUAAAAGUGCUUCUCAAAUAAUAAUAAGGAGAUAUUUUUUCUAAUUUUAGGUGGUCAAGAUUUUCACAAAAUUGUAUAAAUACACCUAUCACAUCUAACUAAAAAAUCACAACCAAAAACCAUACUACAUAAAGCCAAUUAAAAAUAUGUGUAAUUCUGCUUUCAUAGUUUCUAUCGUUUUAAUGAUCAUUGUUUCUCCAACUUUUCAUGCUAAAACAGUGUGUAGCAUCACUUGUGCAAUGAUGAAACACAAAGUGAAACCUUGUUUACAAGGUGUCAGGCAACCAGGGGAGAAGCCAACAGAAUUUUGUUGUAAUGCUAUAUAUAGUCUAAACCUCAAAGCAACAACAACACAAGCUCGAAGAUAUCUCUGCCAGUGUUUUAAAGAUGCUAUAAAGUCAUAUCCAUAUAUAAAAAUUAUCGAUUUUCCUGCACUUUGUGAUGUUCCUCUAGCUAUUCCUUUUACACCAUCGAUAAAUUGUCAAGGAAUUACAUUUUGAACCGAAGAAGAAGAUGCAACGGGAAAAAAAUAGUAAUCUUCUCUAUUAAAAAAGAAGUAUCAGUUUUAUCUACUCUAAAAUAGUCAUACUAGAUUCAUAUAAUCAAUUACAUCUAUUUGAUUAUUUAUAUUAAUUUAUUAAAUA